ACCUCUCUGGCUGCCCCCUAGAGCCUGCCCAUCCCAGCCUGACCAAUGUCCACAGCCAGGGAGCAGCCAAUCUUCAGCACACGGGCGCACGUGUUCCAAAUUGACCCAGCCACCAAGCGAAACUGGAUCCCAGCGGGCAAGCACGCACUCACUGUCUCCUAUUUCUACGAUGCCACCCGCAAUGUGUACCGCAUCAUCAGCAUCGGAGGCGCCAAGGUCAGGGUGGGGUCUGGGUGGGGCAGAGGCACCAGGAGUCCUGGUGACAACCUUGGGUCUGGUGGCUGGCUUGCUGUGUGCCCAAGGGACAGGAAACCCUAAGCCUUCCCAGGCCCUAGUCUCUAUCUCCUGAAAGGGUUCAGAGUAAAGACCUUCAAGACCCUAAUACAAGGUAAUACCUGGGGGGUUUCAUGUUUGUUAGUAUCUGUCCCAUCUACCUUGAACUUUGUUCCCCGACCCUAGGCCAUCAUCAACAGCACUGUCACUCCCAACAUGACCUUCACCAAAACUUCCCAGAAGUUCGGGCAGUGGGCCGACAGUCGCGCCAACACAGUCUAC
rnacentral:lncRNA from 10 species